UAGUGGAUGAUUGUCAAGCGAUGACCUGUGUCUAAAUGUGUGUGUUUGUCGCCCUGUGGAUGGAGUUUGUGCUUUGCUCUCUUUGCCUCCUCUGGGUGUAGCUUUUAUAGACCAACGCCUGCCUCUGAACUCAAGGAAAAGCAGGCUUGUGCGGGGGAGAGUGCGUGGGUGUGCGUGUGCACAUGCCUGUGUGUGUUCAAUGAUUAACUCGAACCAUUGCAUUUGGCACCUGAUGUCCUUAAAGGAGGCCUGGGCAUAAUCAGCAUGACUGCAGGUAAACCACAGAGCAGUUUGAUGUAUUCUGGCUCAAUUCUCGUCACCAUUAAAUUGCAGAAACAGCGGCUCCUGUUUCCUUAAUUACACCAUCGCUUCGGAAGGGAUACAGACAACCGGAAAGUCACACCUGCUCACCACUUUGGCCAAAUUUGGUUUUGUGUUUUUUCCAUGCUGAGGGAGGCCGUUCCAUCACAAGAACUCCCAUGGAAUCCGACAGAAACCUUUACGGAAUCCCCGGACAUUCUCCAGCUCACGCAGCGCAGGAAUUCCUCGCACGUUUUCUUUUAACGAUCAAGGACUUAGAUUGUUUGGAUUAUGUGUAAUAACGCAGUGACAUGAGUGUGUGGUUAGGCCUGAAGGGCAGCAACUCCUGACAGCCACUCACUGUCAACACACCGCAGUCAAGCUGACAGCAGAAAAAAGAAGAAACUUUUUAGACAAACCUGUCCUUAAUAAAAAAUUUUUUACUAACAGUUUACAUAUCCGUCAGAAAAGCUACAAGCCAAAGAAAUCAUCAGGUUGAUGAUUUAAGGAAAACAACGUUGUUGCUUUCAAUAAAACUCAUUUGCAGUAAUAUUAAUAUUUUUGUUUUAUAAUAUUUAAUGAAACAGAACCAGGUAUCACACAUUGUUUUAUGACAUAUGGACGGCAAAAGCAACAUGCUCAAUAUCAGCAAGCUCUAAAAAUGAUAAAGAUUAGUGAAUUCAUUGCAGUAAUUAUUAAGGCCAUGAUAAUAAUUUAAAAAGGGAGGUAAUAAAAGUGAUAGAAACCACCCUUUACAGUGUGCUGUUAUCAGGUAUGAUAAUAUUAUUAUGAGAAAACACAUAAAUAUUACAGCCGUUCCAUUAUAAUUAGACGAAAUAAAAACACAGAAGCAGUUAUGCAGCACAGAUGCUGCUGGGGCAGCAGCUGAAGCCCAUAUGAACACCCUUCCACCACUGUGCUUUCAGGCAUUCUGUGUUCUUUAACACAUUGAAUUGGCAGAGACUUUACUCCGAAUCUCGAUUGGGAAUGAAUGAAUGAAUGAAUGAAUGAAUGAAUGAAUGAAUGAAUGAAUGAAUGAAUGAAUGAAUGAAUGAAUGAAUCAGACUAGAUUUGGUCUUAAAUCAGAUACUUUUGUGUCACAACUGCACCCCCAGUCUGUAUUCAGCUGCACAAGGGCCUCUUAAGUUGCAGGGCGUUGUGCACAUAAAAACAAUUAAAUGGAAACUAAUCCAGAACAGCUAUUGUUCAUUGUAUCAGGAAUGGAACAAAAUAAUGACAAGUCUUUCGCUUUGCAUUUUCUCUGUACACUGCAAAAACAGAAACUCAGGAAAAAAUUAAAAACUCUGGUUUGAGGAGUCUUACUUUCUAUCUUGCGAGAAAAAUAAUAUUACUAAGAAACUUUUUCAAUAGUAAAAUAAUCUUAUUUCAAGAAAAUAUGUCUUUGUGACCAGAUUUUUUUCUUAAAAUAAGAAUCCUUGGCUCUUUCCCCAUUGGCAAAUUUUUUGCUUAUUUAUAGAAAAGCUUUUGAAAUGUAAAGAAAGUUUUUGACUAAUUUCUAGUUGUUGUUUUUGCAUUGUAGAUUAUGAGUGAAGUGAAGCAUUUCGGCAGUAGAUUCCUGAAACAAUAGAACCAAAAUCAAAUCAAAAUUCUUCUGGUAUAAGAAUGUGUCGGAACACAAACAGCGGCUGUAUCCCGAAUAAAAGUAAUGUUUUCAUGCAGCAAAGCUUUAAAUCUGCUCUGCUUGAGUCUUCAGUAAAACCAAAUCUGUGCUUUUGUGUCCUUUUCUGAAUGUACAUGCAACAUUUUGUGCAUUGUACGCUCAUGAAUAUUAGCUUUUAACAGCAAAUGGCGGCUUUUGGUUUUGGGAAUACAAAAUUUAGGUUGAAAUGACUUUUUUGAAGGACAAAACAAAUUGAACAAGUUGAAACAAAACAAUUGAAAAUUCUUGACUUAAGGAUUCCUGCUUCUCAGUUCAUCGCUAAAAAAGUUUUGCUUUGAAAUUUUACUUAAGUUGAAGUUAAAACGUUGUCCUUUUUUGUGGUUUAACACCAGGUUGGGCAGAAUUUGCCAGAUGCAAGUGCAUUUGAAUGCAGUUCCUGCCACACUUGAGGAAAAUGUUUGCUGGUUUUAUCCCUCAAAUUCAAUUCUUGUGUCAAACAUGGAGGUUUUAAGUCUAUCUUAUAAUAUUUGAUAUCAUAAUUAUAAU
ensembl:lncRNA